GUCAAAAUAACACCAUCAGAAUAUUUUAGUAUUAGAUCUGUGUCUAAUUGCCAUCACCGGAAUUGGGUAUUCAUUGGUUGCUGGUCUGUAGAUAACUCGAUAAUAAUGAUAGAUAUGUCCACCAUCUCAUCAAACGCAACAGAUAACUGGCGAUUGCAUAUGGAAUUGGAUAGGUAAAAUGUUUCAGAAAUCACCGAGCCAAACACGAUGAUAAGAAUGUUUCAGAAACAAGAGUUUGUAUGAUAUAUAGAUUGCUAUAAUCGGUAAACAAUGAUAUACAUAAAACGACGGGCAAACAGACAGAUAAAUAGAAGAUAGUUCGAACGAUGGGCAGAUUAGUGUAUACCAUAAUGCCUGGAACAGCAGGAGGGAUUCUUCUGUGGAGGAGCUUGAGGGUGUACUCAGCAACUUGUUCUGGGGUGGCUUUCUCUUUGCACUCGGCGCCAGGGGUGACCAUGCUAGGCUUAAGGA
rnacentral:lncRNA from 1 species